rnacentral:rRNA from 1 species
AGUGAACGCUGGCGGUAGGCCUAACACAUGCAAGUCGAACGGCAGCACAGUAAGAGCUUGCUCUUACGGGUGGCGAGUGGCGGACGGGUGAGGAAUACAUCGGAGUCUACUUUUUCGUGGGGGAUAACGUAGGGAAACUUACGCUAAUACCGCAUACGACCUACGGGUGAAAGCAGGGGAUCUUCGGACCUUGCGCGAUUGAAUGAGCCGAUGUCGGAUUAGCUAGUUGGCGGGGUAAAGGCCCACCAAGGCGACGAUCCGUAGCUGGCCUGAGAGGAUGAUCAGCCACACUGGAACUGAGACACGGUCCAGACUCCUACGGGAGGCAGCAGUGGGGAAUAUUGGACAAUGGGCGCAAGCCUGAUCCGGCCAUACCGCGUGGGUGAAGAAGGCCUUCGGGUUGUAAAGCCCUUUUGUUGGGAAAGAAAAGCAGCAGGUUAAUACCCCGCUGUUCUGACGGUACCCAAAGAAUAAGCACCGGCUAACUUCGUG